CCGUAACUUCGGGAGAAGGGGGACCAGUCCUGGUGACGACAUUUACUGUCUGAGCUGGGGUUGGUCGCAGAGACCAGAGAGAAGCGACUGUUUACUAAAAACACAGGUCCGUGCGAAGUCGUAAGACGAUGUAUACGGACUGACGCCUCCCCGGUGCUGGAAGGUUAAGAGGACCGGUCAGCCACUUCGGUGGCGAAGCUGAGAAUUUAAGCCCCAGUAAACGGCGGUGGUAACUAUAACCAUCCUAAGGUAGCGAAAUUCCUUGUCGGGUAAGUUCCGACCUGCACGAAUGGCGUAACGACUUCUCUGCUGUCUCAACCACAGACUCGGCGAAAUUGCAGUACGAGUAAAGAUGCUCGUUACGCGCGGCAGGACGAAAAGACCCCGGGACCUUCACUAUAGCUUGGUAUUGGUGUUCGGUUCGGUUUGUGUAGGAUAGGUGGGAGACUGUGAAACUCGCACGCCAGUGUGGGUGGAGUCAUUGUUGAAAUACCACUCUGACCGUAUUGGACAUCUAACCUCGGACCAUGAUCUGGUUCAGGGACAGUGCCUGGUGGGUAGUUUAACUGGGGCGGUUGCCUCCUAAAACCUAACGGAGGCGCCCAAAGGUUCCCUCAGCCUGGUUGGCAAUCAGGUGUUGAGUGUAAGUGCACAAGGGAGCUUGACUGUGAGACGUACAUGUCGAGCAGGGACGAAAGUCGGGACUAGUGAUCCGGCACCGGCAAGUGGAAGCGGUGUCGCUCAACGGAUAAAAGGUACCCCGGGGAUAACAGGCUGAUCUUCCCCAAGAGUCCAUAUCGACGGGAUGGUUUGGCACCUCGAUGUCGGCUCGUCGCAUCCUGGGGCUGGAGUAGGUCCCAAGGGUUGGGCUGUUCGCCCAUUAAAGCGGCACGCGAGCUGGGUUUAGAACGUCGUGAGACAGUUCGGUCUCUAUCCGCCGCGCGCGUAAGAAACUUGAGGAAACCUGUCCCUAGUACGAGAGGACCGGGACGGACGAACCUCUGGUGUGCCAGUUGUUCCACCAGGAGCACCGCUGGUUAGCUACGUUCGGAAGGGAUAACCGCUGAAAGCAUCUAAGCGGGAAGCCUGUUCCAAGAUGAGGUUUCUCACCACCUAGCGUGGUUAAGGCCCCCCACAGACCAUGGGGUUGAUAGGCCAGAACUGUAAGCACAGCAAUGUGUUCAGGUGACUGGUACUAAUCGGCCGAGGACUU
rnacentral:rRNA from 1 species